rnacentral:rRNA from 1 species
GCCACACGGGGUAAGAGCUGAACGCAUCUAAGCUCGAAACCCACUUGGAAAAGAGACACCGCUGAGGUCCCGCGUAUAAGACGCGGUCGAUAGACUCGGGGUGUGCGCGUCGAGGUAACGAGACGUUGAGCCCACGAGCACUAACAGACCAAAGCCAUCAUUCA